rnacentral:rRNA from 1 species
GAUAAACGCUGACAGAAUGCUUAACACAUACAAGACUAUUACAUGGCGGACGGGUGAGUAACGCGUAAAGAACUUGCCCUUUAGACUGGGAUAACAGAGGGAAACUUUUGAUAACACUGGAUACUAACGGAGAGCUUUGAGUCCUAUUAGCUAGUUGGAAAGGUAAGAGCUUACCAAGGCGAUGAUGGGUAGCCGGCCUGAGAGGGUGGACGGCCACAAGGGGACUGAGAUACGGCCCUUACUCCUACGAGAGGCAGCAGUGGGGAAGAUUGGACAAUGGAGGAAACUCUGCUCCGGCAAUUCUGUGUGUGUGAAGAAGGUUUUAGGACUGUAAAACACUGUUAGUAGGGAAGCGGUACCUACAGAAGAAGCAACGGCGAAAUACGUGCCAGCAGCCGCGGUAAUUC